rnacentral:rRNA from 1 species
GACGAACGCUGGCGGCGUGCUUAACACAUGCAAGUCGAACGCUGAAGCUCAGCUCUUGCUGGGUUGAUGAUUGGCGAACGGGUGUGUAACACGCGAGUAUCCCGCCCCCUUCUUUGGGAUAUCGCCUGGAAACGGGUGCUAUUACUGGAUAUUCACUGGUCUUCGCCUGGGGUUUGGUGGAAAGGGCUUUUCUGGUGUGGGAUGGGCUCGCGGCCUAUCAGCUUGUUGGUGGGGUGAUGGCCUACGAUGGCAACGACGCAUAGCCGGCCUGAGAGGGUGAGCGGCCAAACUGGAACUGAGAGACGGACAUAACGCCUAGGGGAGGCAGCAGGAGGGAAGCGUGCGCAAUGGCAGAAAGGCUGACGGAGCAACGCCGCGUGAGUGAGGAAGGUAUGGGGAUCGUAAAAUUGUGUUACUAUUGAGGAACAGGUGAAGCAGCAACAGUGGUUGUCGUGACGGUAGUUAAUAAGAAAGCGACGGCUAACUACGUG